ensembl:lincRNA
AUGAGAACAAAAGGUGCUGGGAGGUGCCCGAAGUUGAGUGGGACAGACUCAGCCAGACACAGGCUGCCGGCUGGAAUCACUGCCAGUGGGCUUAUCCAGCUGCGGAUUCUUUUCUGUCAACUGAAAAGGAAAACACUUCAUUGGAAGGUGCUUAGGACUCUUGCAGCUCGUGUCUCAGACAAGAGGCCGGGUCUUUCUGCAGCAAGCCCCCAGCCAUCCCUACCCCAACGCCUGGCAAGAAUUUCCAUGUUACAGGAAGCAGCACAGAGUUACAUAGUGAAACUGGCUAAACCACACGGACCUCUGGCUACUCUAUGAUCAUAUCACCCCACGGCCUUUGCCUCUCCACUCUGCCUGGAACAUUUUUUUCACUGCUCUAUUCAUGGCUGGGUUUGAGACCAAAUUCAGCUACCAACAACUUAGUUAUAUUUGAAUGACCCAUUUCUCAAUCACGUGACUCUCUCUGACUAUUGUCCUGCAAAUGGGGUUUUAAGCACAGACCCCUUGAGAUGGAAGCCUCUGACUGAAAAACCUGAAGAUGGAAAUGAGCCAUGUGCCUACCUGAGGAGGACAUUCUGGGCAGAGAGAAAGGCCACUGCAAAGUGGUUCUGCCUGGUGUGUGGUGAAGUGAAGCAGAGGAAAAGGAAAACUGAAGAAAAGUUCAAGAGCCCAAAUCUGACAAUUCAAGGAGGGGGAAAAAAAAAAAAUCAGUUGCUGGUUAAGGAUAACCUGGAAUAUGGCUAAAAAUUGUGAAGAGGCCAAAACACUCAACUUAAGUCAGCAGCUCUGGGUGAAGCCUGGACUAGGCACAUGUGGACUGUGUGAUCUGGGAGGGGCGAUGGGUCAGACAAGCUGGUGGCAGAAGGGCCUGCCGAACAAAAACAAAAAAUGGGAACUCAUAAUGGGGAGAAAGAGCCUGAGGGCCAGAACUCCAGGACUUCAGGAGCUUGGCACCUAGAAGCCCCCACGGAGGUUAGAGAGCAUUACAUUGUAAUUAAUGAUGGUGGCAGAGGGAUUCAAGGAACUCAUUUCAUGAUCUAAAUAUAAGAAAUGAAGCUUGCUCCAUCUGACUGGAUGGUGACUAUCAGACAUGCCAUCUCUCAUCUCUAAGGAGGAUGAGAAAAAAAAAAAAUAAGGAGGAUAAAAUGGCAAAGAUGGGAUAACCAAGUGGAGCUGGACCAUUUUCAAGGUGUAGCUUCAGCAAGGCUUCAUGACAGAUGACUUUAAGGAACAAGUACCACACUGAGGUUACAACAAGGGGAUCCCUGAGGAGUCACCCCAGAACCACAGAGAACUGCGGGGUUCUGAAGAGUUUCAAAGGAUGCUAGUUGUAUUCCAUGUACAAAUAAAGAAAAUGAGGUCGGGAGAGGGAAAGCAACUGACCUAAGAUCACACAGAGAAGUGCGAGGGAAGCUGGGUAUCCUUUUCUACUACCUGAUUCCAUGUCUCUCGGCACCUUGCCUGCAGCGGAUACAAACAUGAUCCGGUGAAGAAAUCUCCCUGAAGACUGAAGAACUCAUUUAACCUUGUGGACAUAAAUCUAAUCCUGACGCUGCCCAGCUCAGAAUCCUCCAGUGGCUUCUCAUUUCAUUUACAGUAAAAUCCAAGCUUCACAGCCAUGAGGCCCUCCAGGAUCUAACUCUGCAGCCCAACUUCUCUCCACCCUCUCCCUUGUUGACCAUCACCUUCUUCCUCACCUUUCUGUGAUUUUUUCCUUCCUGUGUUUACUUAUUUACUGUUGGUCUCUUCUCAAGAGUUGGAUAAUUCCACAAGAGAAAAAUACCGCAUCUUUUUUGGGUACCCUGUACAUCCAGCAACUAAAACACUGCCCAGAACAGAGCAGAUGCCCAACCACUGUGAAAAGAGAAUGAAGGAACAAACACAGCAGCUGGUGUAUUUUAAAUAACCAAUAAAUCCUAGAUUUCUUCAUGGCCGUGUCACCAUCAAUCGUGAGAUGAAUCAUUACUUCAAAAGUCAUUAAUAAAGGCAACAAGUUGCUAAUUAAUGGUCAUAGCUA